CGAGAACCUAAUGCGUUGGGAAAAAGAUAAUUAAGACCAUUGGAACAAGAUCCUAAUGCGUGAGAGCGAGAUAAUUAAGGUGUGGCCAUGACUUACUAAGACAUAGGAAUGGGUUAAUUAAGGCGUGGGAACAAGGUAAAUAAGGCAAGGCUACGACUUCUUAAGGCGUGGGAACGAGAACCUAAUGUGUGGGAACGAGAUAAAUAAGCCGUGAAAACGAGAACCUAAUGUGUGGGAAUGAGAUAAAUAAGCCGUGGAAACGAGAACCUAAUGCGUUGGAAAGAGAUAAUUAAGGUGUGGCCAUGACUUACUAAGGCAUAGGAAUGGGUUAAUUAAGGCGUGGGAACAAGGUAAAUAAGGCAAGGCUAUGGCUUCUUAAGGCGUGGGAACAAGAACCUAAUGUGUGGGAACGAGAUAAAUAAACCGUGGAAACAAGAACCUAAUGCGUUGGAAAGAGAUCAUUAAGACCAUUGGAACAAGAUCUUAAUGCGUGGGAACAAGAUAAUUAAGGUGUGGCCAUGACUUACUAAGGCAUAGGAAUGGGUUAAUUAAGGCGUGGGAACAAGGUAAAUAAGGCAAGGCUACGACUUCUUAAGGCGUGGGAACAAGAACCUAAUGCGUGGGAACAAUAUCCUAAUGCAUGGGAAAGAGAUAAUUAAGGCAUGGCCACAAGUUAUUAAGGCAUAGGAACAAGUUAACAAAAUUAAAGCCAUUAGGCCGUGGCCACAAGGUAAUUUUGUUUCACAGCUAACAAAGUGAGCAGCUCUCAGGGGUUGUGCACAAUAUGACUGCCUAAAAAAGGUGAAUAGGUCUGCAUACUGUCUGCAUCUGAGCCAAUCAGCUUUUAGUAUGAGAAUUAAGUGUCUUUUAACUUAGUAUUAUGUCAUGUUUCACUGCAAGAGAAUCAAAAAUAUCUCCAUAAUUCAUUCCAAGAUUUAAAAAAAAAACAAUUUAAUCUCCAUUUUUCCUACAAAAGAUUAUCCUUGGAUUAAAGGAGUUUUGGUGUAAUAUUCAAUUUCUUAAUUGGCAUUAAUUUACAGCAAAGCAACCUUAAUUAUUCUCUGGCUUAAUUAUCUCAUACACAUGCCUUAAUAAGCUGUGGCCACGACUUAGGAUCUCAUUCCCAGUCCGUCACCUUAGGGGCUCUGUAGGUUUGCUCACAUCCACAUGUGAAAAAAGUCAGAUAUACCUACCGACAAAUUCCACUGGAUAAUAAUAUUGCUCAUGCUCACCUAAUACUCUUAACUUUAAUUUUUUGUGAGUUAGUUUUCUUUGCAGUGUUUGUUAAUAUCACUUAAACAGAAAUCUUGUUGUACUUCUGAGCGCCUCAGUUUUAAGGUGGAAAUAUGGGCAGCGUAAAGUAAGUAGCUAAUUAUGCUAAUUGCACUAGCCAGCUAAGGUAGCUAAUGACUCUUCGAUACAUUAGACCAGUUGUUUAACGAGGACUCAGAGCCCCAGAUUGGCCUAAUUUUUCUCUAUUUUGUUUGUUAUGUGUGUGUUUGGGUAGUUUCAGGUCUUUUUUAUGUAAGACUUGUUGAAUAAAUGACUAACGUGGCAGGAUAAGGUAGCUAACUAAUGCUUGCAGAGGGAACUAAUCAGCUACAUUGGGUGGGUAGCUAGCUAUGGUAGCUCUUUGUAACUCAAGGUUAAGGUUUCCUCUAUGUGUGUUGUGAGCAUGUCUGUUUAGAUUUGGGUCUUUUUCAUAAGGAUUUGUCAAUUAAAUAAUAAAACUGGCAGGUCUAAAUUAGCUAAUGUAGCUUUGGACAGGAAAUUCUUCAAAUAAUUUUUGAUCAGUUGUUCUAAAACCAGUUCUCACAACACCAAAUUGGAAUCCAGAGUUUCCCUCCAUGCAUGUUUUGAGUGUAUCUUGGAUAUCAAUAAGCAUUUCACAGUAUUUUGUGCAUCUAAACCCUUUGGAAACAUGUCCAAAGACAGGUGCUGGACACUACUGUCUGUAUAGUUGAUUUAAUGAGCCUCAAAUAGACAGAAGUGAUAAUAAACUGUAUAUUACUACUGCUUUUACUACUGUUGAUUUGUGGGGCAGCCAUUUUGGAUUCUGAAUUUGGGAUUGAUGAGGCUCUAACCACUUUGCGAGUAGGAAUUCUGACUUGUAGGAGCUCUCCAGUUAAAAUUCCUACUCGGAACUAGAAAAUUUUGACUUUCCAGUUCAAAUGAUACACAGUAUAGGUCUUUUUCUUUACGAUUUGUCAAACAAAUAACCACAUUUCACAGUCUAAAGUAGCUAUUGAAGUGAUUAGCCUAACAACUAGCUAGCUAGCAUGCAAAAUAGCAUAUUUGUUUUUGCUUACUGUAAUGGAUUUUUUAACACAUUUAUUUCUUUACACAUGAAAUGACUUGAGCACAACACACGUGAGCAUUCUUACAUUAUAUUUUUUAAUAGACAGCCAUUAAUUUUUCAGCACGAAGAGGUAGCACCAUUUUAAAGGCUUGUGUAAAAUGUACUAAAAUGCAUUAUCAGCUAUCUAGGUCUCCUAAUAUGUGUAUCUAUGGUUCUCCACACAAUGUUGCAUGACAUCUGACCACCUCAUUCAUACAUGACAUACAUGAUGAUGCUCUUGUUUGUACAUUGUUUGCCUGCUGUUUCCGCACAAAGUACUGGCACAACUACAUGUGUUGGAGUGAUAGGUAAUGAAAUAAAUCAUAUCUUAUUUGCAAGACAAACUCUCAGCUAAUCUCCCACCACUGUACCCCACUGUAUACACGCAUCAGAUCAUCCUGUAUAGUAUAGAUAACUACGAGCUUGCAUGGCAACUGUAUUUCCAGUCACUAGAGGGGUUUUGUAGGUUCACUCUAAACCCCCGAAGGAAUAGAAAGAGCCUGCCAGAGCUACAGAGCUAUCAUCAUUACAGUGAGCUAACUCAUUACAAGCUACUUGUGUAAAUGUACAACUUCAACAUUGAAGGAAUGUUUCACUUAAAAGUGUACGUAGCUGGAAGCUAAAUGAUAGCAGUUAUCAUGACUUCCUUUUCAUAAUGCUAUCUAGAAAAAAAAUACAUAAAUGAUAAAAUACUGAUCCUGAUCUUUGAUUACAAAGAAUAUUUCUGAGUUUACUCAACAAAAAAAUGACUUUUGUUUGUUAUAAAUGUGCUAAAAUCUCACAUCGAGGUAUUCUUGUUCAGUAGAGUAGCUGCUAUGACACCACAGAGAUUUUGAUAUGCACCAAAAUGAAAAAUUAGAGUCUAAAUUAAGAAACUAAAUUGAACAUUCAACCAAUGGUCCAAUGCUAAAUACCAAAUGUAUACCAUCAAUUAAAUAGACAAAAAAUUAUAAAUUGUUGCCUCGCAAUUCAAAAAUGUCUUAUUACUUAUUCAGUUCACAUGAAUGUUGGACAUCAUAACAGCAUAACAGCAAAAACAGCAUAAGAAAUUCAGAUUUGGUAAGAAAACUAGAUUUGGGCCACUUUAUCUGCUGUUUGAACAGCUGUGCCCUUCCUGGGAUUUGGAUUUAAUAUUACAUUUAAUAUUAUAUUUAUUAUCACAUUUAUUGAGCAGCAGUUAGACUGUACGGCCACCCUAGAGCCGAGAUAUUACAAUACAUAAAGAUAGUUCUAUGUAAAAUCACGAAGUGAAAUAUUCCUUUAAUACUCAUUGCACGUGUAUCCAUGCUUUGAAGCAUUCUCAAAAAAUAGCAAAUAAUCAAAUUCUUCCUAGUGCAAGCUGUACAUAUUUACUGUCUCUUUACUUAUGUUUGGCACUAAUGUUGUUUGGGACCAUGCAGAAUCUAUUGCAACUACCAAUUCUUCCUAUGAAAUCACUCGGUGAGGCACUGGAUGUGGUUUGAAAAGCAACAUUCAAGCGACACUCUAAGCACAGUGAAAAUCUGUUCUUCCUGCUCCAAGACCCGACUGACUUCCUGCUAGAGCAUUUCUAGAGCUAAACACGAUAAAGACUUGAUGUCUUUUGAGACGCAGAGUAGGUUUAUUUUAUCAAUCCGUCACGUGACACGACUAAAUUCUGUAUGCAAUACGAAGUCAAGCAGAGAGAGAGAGAAAUGGAUACUCAAAGUAUCAAGUGAAUCUCUACUUACAAGAUGAUGGGAAUCAAUACAAUUGCACUAUGUUUUGUUUUCUUUUGUUUUUGUUUUUUACUUCUGCUUUAUAAUGCAAUAAAUGCACUAUGUAAGUGUGUAUCUCCUUUAUAUGAUGUCUGAAAGAAAAAAGGCAUUCACUCUGUAUCCACUUCUCCGAAAUGGAAAUAAAAAAACACAUUUUCAACAAAAACUAUACUACCCAACACCCUGCACUGUAUCGAACGAUUCCCUGCUCCGGAAAGGAAAAAAAUUACAAUAAAGAGUUACAGUAAGA